rnacentral:rRNA from 1 species
UACGGAGGGUGCAAACGUUGCUCGGAAUCAUUGGGCGUAAAGCGCACGUAGGCGGUCUCGUAAGUCGGGUGUGAAAGCCCCAGGCUUAACCUGGGAAGUGCACUCGAAACUGCGAGGCUUGAGUAUGGAAGAGGGUCUCGGAAUUCCCGGUGUAGAGGUGAAAUUCGUAGAUAUCGGGAGGAACACCAGUGGCGAAGGCGGAGACCUGGGCCAAUACUGACGCUGAGGUGCGAAAGCGUGGGGAGCAAACAGG